rnacentral:lncRNA from 1 species
GACGUAACGUCUUUCCUUGUCCCUCAUGUCACGUGACGUGAUAUGACAACCGCUUGUGAAAAUAGCUUGGAAUCGAAGUCCUUGUUUUUCGAGCCUUUGACCGACCGAACUUAACGUUGUAUUAUCGAAAAUGAACAUCGAACGUGUUCAGCAAAAGUUUAGGAGCAGUUAAGAGUCUCAGAGAGUGUGUUUAGAGGUGGACACAGAGAGAAUUAAUGUUGUUGAGGUCGCGGCAGGAUGCCCCGCCGGAAGCGCACAACGGAUGAAGGCGGAAGAAGAGCGAAAGUCGGCAGAGUGGAGCACAACGAAGAGACCCUGGUCAUAUCUGAUUCUGAAAAUGAAGAGGAGGAAGAUUGCUCACUUAAAAGGUCCUCUCGGACCACCCGGUGGAAACGAAGGGAGAAUAAAUCUCAACUACGAGACAUGACAGAAGAAGAGAUGCUGAACCUGGCCAUGAGACUUAGCGCUCAAGAAGCAAACAAUGCUUCCCAGAAACUACAGCAGGAAGACAACAACGUACAAAAGGCCAUAACAGAAAGUCUUAAUGUUGGUGAAACAUUUAUUCUCAUUUUGGCUGUUAUACAUUAUAUGACGUUUAAA